AUAAUGUCACGUUGUGGUCACUGAACUUCCGUUUGCUGCUCAACGGUCACUGAACUUACAAACACACCACUCCAUCCAUCACUCACCUCAAAGCCAUUUGAAAUUGUGUGAUCUGGCCCUGACGGAAUUCCAUGUGGCAUUCAACGGCGUCAAAAGUGAUACACGAUGGACAUGUUUAAGAUUACACGACCCUAACCCAUUCAAAAUUGAAAACCAAUUUCCCUAAUUCACUCUCCCAUGAACCCUAAUUCAAUCUCCCCCAAUUCAAAAUCCUGGAUCGAACAUAGAGUCACUUGCCAGAAGUUCUUCGCCUUCCAAUGUACACCAUCCCCAGCUGCAGAUGAUUAUCAACCAAUAAAAUCUGAACCCACGUCCCGUUACCUAAAUGUUGAAAACUCGAAGAAGGAAACCAGAGGAGCCCAACCAACUGCGAACGGUGAAGGUAAUCUCUUAAAUUCUUAUUUACUGGUAUGAAGAAUAUGUAAUUGACACUGUUGAAUGACCGAAUUUUUGUUCAAAUUUGCUGACUGCACAAAAUCAAAGAGAGUUGUAAGAUUUUCCUUCGUUCAAAUUGUUUCAAUAAUUUCUCAUUGAAAGCACUUUGAAUUUUCAAUUUUGAACUUGGGUUCAUCACUUUGAAUUUUCAAUUUUAAACCUGGGUUCAUCCUGUGAGCAUUUUUGAAAUUGGACAUUGUUUAAUUUUGUUUCAGGAGGCAUCCCGUAAGCAUUAAUUCUUGUUACAGAAUGCUCAAAAUGAUAUGGUGGUCAUUGUUUAAUUUUGUUGGAGGAGGCUGAAAAUGAACUGAUGGUCGUAGUUGUGAUAGGAAAUUAUUGAAUUAGCGUUGCGGAUGAUAUUAGUUUGAUGAUUAUCAGCAUUAUUAGUAAAAGUAUUAUGGUUACAAAAUUAAAAUGUCUUGUUAAAUUGUGUUCUUGAAUGGUGAGAAAUUUUUAUGCAGAUUAGGAUAUUAUGUGGUGUCGAACAUGAUGAUUCGAAGAGGCUGGUUUUUGUAUCAAAAUCAAUAAAAGAUGUGGUAAGAUUUUGUAGUCCUAAAGAUUUUGAUUUUAAUCAUUUUUUCUUCCCCCUCCCCCUCGCCCUCCCCUUGGGGAUUUACUUGAGUAUAAAUAUUAAUUUGGAUUCUUUUUUUAAUAGACUCUGAUUGCAAAGCAGUGGCAAUUUGCAUAGAGGAAAACUAUUGGGUUCCAGAAUGUGGAGGAUUUGGGUGAGUUCAAUGACAUUGAGGCAUGGACGAAGCAACAAAGAGUUUCCAAACUUAGCUUAUAAAAGAAAUCUACCAAGUGAUCACAUUACGUUGUAUUAAGCUUCAUGUUGCAUUUCAAUUCCAAGUAAUCAGGCAAAAACAAGGGAUAUGGAAUCAAGGAAGCUUAUGAAAGAUAUAUGCAGGCACUGUGGGGAGAAGUUGUUGGGGUCUCGUAUUGAGGCACGAACAAUAUACUGUCCAAUGUGUGGUGCUACUACAAUACUUCAAAUACCACAGCAGCUGGUCACUCUUCCCGCACAUGGACGGGCGUUACCUACAAGGGACAUCGAUACUGAUGAAGAUCGUGAAAAAGGGUGUUAAUGUUUUUGUGGAUAAGGGUGUUGAUAACUUUGUAGUGUCAAAGUAAUGUAAAUGUAUUUUUUAUGGUGUUUUCAGAUGUCAAACAACUGAAGUUUUUCGGCGAACACUCACUUUGAAUGCUGAUUUGUUUUUUCCAUUGACUAAGUUCCUUUUUUGUGGCUUCUGUUUUGAUUUUGUUGUGCUUGCAAAGACUUGUUUGAUUUGAGAUUGAACAUAAUUAUGUGAAGUUGUGCAUGAACG
rnacentral:lncRNA from 1 species